GCAGCAGAGAAUGAGACUACGUC
rnacentral:miRNA from 1 species